AUUGAACGCUGGCGGCAGGCUUAACACAUGCAAGUCGAGCGGGGGAAGGUAGCUUGCUACCGGACCUAGCGGCGGACGGGUGAGUAAUGCUUAGGAAUCUGCCUAUUAGUGGGGGACAACAUCUCGAAAGGGAUGCUAAUACCGCAUACGUCCUACGGGAGAAAGCAGGGGAUCUUCGGACCUUGCGCUAAUAGAUGAGCCUAAGUCGGAUUAGCUAGUUGGUGGGGUAAAGGCCUACCAAGGCGACGAUCUGUAGCGGGUCUGAGAGGAGGUUCCGCCACCCUGGGACUGAGACACGGCCCAGACUCCUACGGGAGGCAGCAGUAUGGAUUAUUGGACAAUGGGGGGAACCCUGAUCCAGCCAUGCCGCGUGUGUGAAGAAGGCCUUAUGGUUGUAAAGCACUUUAAGCGAGGAGGAGGCUACUUUAGUUAAUACCUAGAGAUAGUGGACGUUACUCGCAGAAUAAGCACCGGCUAACUCUGUGCCAGCAGCCGCAGUAA
rnacentral:rRNA from 1 species